rnacentral:rRNA from 1 species
AAUGAACGUUGGCGGCGUGGAUUAGGCAUGCAAGUCGCGCGAGAAGCUUUCCUUCGGGAGAGUGGACAGCGGCGUAAGGGAGAGUAAUACAUGGAUACCUAACCCCGGGAUCUGGGAUAGCCGUGGGAAACCGCGGGUAAUACCGGAUAAUGUCUCCGGACCAAAGGUGUGAUUCCGUCUUGGGAUGGGUCCAUGUCCUAUUAGCUUGUUGGUGAGGUAACGGCUCACCAAGGCUUCGAUGGGUACCGGGCGUGAGAGCGUGACCCGGCUCACUGGGACUGAGACACUGCCCAGACACCUACGGGUGGCUGCAGUCGAGAAUCUUCGGCAAUGGGCGAAAGCCUGACCGAGCGACGCCGCGUGCGGGAUGAAGGCCUUCGGGUUGUAAACCGCUGUCAGAGGGGAGGAAAUCGCUAGGGGCUAUCCCCUAGUGUUGACCUAUCCUCAGAGGAAGGACGGGCUAAGUUCGUG